rnacentral:rRNA from 1 species
UACGUAGGGUGCAAGCGUUGUCCGGAAUUAUUGGGCGUAAAGAGCGUGUAGGCGGCCAGGUAGGUCGGUUGUGAAAACUGGAGGCUCAACCUUCAGAGGUCGACCGAAACCAUCUGGCUAGAGUCCGGGAGAGGAGAGUGGAAUUCCUGGUGUAGCGGUGAAAUGCGCAGAUAUCAGGAAGAACACCCGUGGCGAAAGCGGCUCUCUGGAACGGUACUGACGCUGAGACGCGAAAGCGUGGGGAGCGAACAGG